rnacentral:rRNA from 1 species
UGGCGGACGGGUGAGUAACGCGUGAGAAUUUAGCUUCAGGUGGGGGACAACAGUUGGAAACGACUGCUAAUACCGAAUAUGCCGAGAGGUGAAAGAUUAAUUGCCUGGAGAAGAGCUCGCGUCUGAUUAGCUAGUUGGUGGGGUAAGAGCUUACCAAGGCGACGAUCGGUAGCUGGUCUGAGAGGACGAUCAGCCACACUGGGACUGAGACACGGCCCAGACUCCUACGGGAGGCAGCAGUGGGGAAUUUUCCGCAAUGGGCGAAAGCCUGACGGAGCAAUACCGCGUGAGGGAGGAAGGCUCUUGGGUUGUAAACCUCUUUUCUCAGGGAAGAACAAAAUGACGGUACCUGAGGAAUAAGCAUCGGCUAACUCCGUGCCAGCAGCCGCGGUAAUACGGAGGAUGCAAGCGUUAUCCGGAAUUAUUGGGCGUAAAGCGUCCGCAGGUGGCAAUUCAAGUCUGCUGUUAAAGGUUCUGGCUCAACCAGGAACAGGCAGUGGAAAC